UGCUGGAGGCGGAGAUGCGUGAGUUGGAGGAGGCCCUUCGUGUGGAGGGCAAUGCCAGACGGUGGUCCAAAACGGCGGCAGAUGGUGAGGAGCACCCAAUACGGAAGAAUCAGUUUCCAAUUGUUGAUGUCCAGGACAAUUUUGAGAAGCUUUCAAUGUACAAGGGACUUUCUGCAAAAUGUAAAUUACACUACGGCUCCGACAAGUUCCACGGGACGGAGGGAGUACAAUGGAUUGAGGACCCUGGUUGAAGCGUUGGAGAUUCGAUGUGAUAGGCUGAUUAAUUGAUGGUAGAGUAGCUCAGUACCCAGGUUGCAUCCUUUCUUUUUAUCUCCUUGUUUUUUAGUUCUGGCACAAGCUAUUUGAUCUUGCUGAUGAUUCUGCAUCUCGGUCGUGUUUUAUUUUUAACAUCUUCUAUUGUAUCCAUAACUCAAACGAUUCUUGUUGAUGUUUGUUCUGGUAUAAGCUAUUUGCAUUGAAACUGUAUUUGAAUUUAGGCAGCCAAGGAAAUACAUGUCAUCUGAAUUUUUCAUUUUGGAGCAGAUGUUUGCCGAUCGCAUGCGAAUGCAGUCGUUUUUGAUUGUCUGGCGGAUAGUGAGGGUGAAAGAAAUGCAUCUAGAUCCAACGCAGUCGUUUUUGAUUGUCUGGCGGAUAGUGAGGGUGAAAGAAAUGCAUCUAGAUCCAACGGGUGAGUUGUAUUGUUCUGUUUCUUAUCCUCUGAGGAAAGUUGGUUUCUUUCUCAUGUAUUGAUUGAGUGCUGGUUUUGCAUUAUCCAAUUGUAAAUCCAACUUCAUUGACUGUUUGUAGCCUGUUUUCAAUUCUGCUGCACAAUCUGUGUCUUACCUUAUAUUUACCCAUUGUAUGACUUGAUAUAGGUCACUCAUUUGACAAUUACAAUCUAACUUUGCACUCCACAACAGGCUCAAUGUGGUACUCCUACAAAUAGUGGUUAGAAGAGAGGGUGACAAUGUUGCACAGUGGUGUGGUAGCAAAACAGCGAAAGAGGUGAAGCUAAGCUGCUGGCGGGAAAGGAGAAGGGUGACAGAUGCAACCUUUCCAUGCCUUGGUACUUUGGAGCACUGUGUUUUAUGUGAGAGAGUGAGUGAGGGAGGGAGAGUUGUGAAAAGUCUCUUUGUGUUAGGAAAAAGUGUAAUACACAGAGUGUAAUCCGGUUGAUCGACACUUAAACAUGGAGGGUUUGCCACAACUCUCGAUGUCGUGUUACCCAUAUGAAUUGUAACUCCAUUUAUGAUUAGGUAUAAAAUAUAAUUAACAUGAAAAAAUUAUGAAACA